AGGGUAUGAUACUGGCUCAGAACGAACGCUGGCGGCGUGGAUUAGGCAUGCAAGUCGCGCGAGAAACCCAGCUUCGGUUGGGGAGUAAAGCGGCGAAAGGGUGAGUAACACCUGGACAACCUGCCCUCGAGACCGGUACAACUCAGCACUUCUGCAAGGAAGUGCUCCCGAAAGGUGAGCUAAUCCCGGAUACGUUCCCCGGUCACAUGGCCGGGGAAGAAAGGUGGGGACCCCGAAAGGGGCCUGCCGCUCGUUGAGGGGUCCAGGUCCUAUCAGCUAGUUGGUGAGGUAACGGCUCACCAAGGCUAUGACGGGUACGGGGCCUGAGAGGGUGUUCCCGCACACUGGGACUGAGACACUGCCCAGACUCCUACGGGAGGCUGCAGUCGAGAAUCUUUGGCAAUGGGCGCAAGCCUGACCAAGCGACGCCGCGUGGAGGAUGAAGGCCUUCGGGUUGUAAACUCCCGUUGGGGGGCAGGAUGGGAGAGAGCGCUAAUAUCAUUCUCUUCUGACUUAAACCCCUGAGGAAGCCACGGCUAACUCCGUGCCAGUAGCCGCGGUAAGACGGAGGUGGCAAGCGUUGUUCGGAAUCACUGGGCUUAAAGGGCACGUAGGCGGCUGGGUAUGUCCGGUGUGAAAUCCCACGGCUCAACCGUGGAACUGCGUCGGAAACUACCCGGCUCGAGGGCAGGAGAGGAGAGUGGAACUCCUGGUGUAGCGGUGAAAUGCGUAGAUAUCAGGAGGAACGCCGGAGGCGAAAGCGACUCUCUGGACUGUCCCUGACGCUGUGGUGCGAAAGCCAGGGGAGCGAACGGGAUUAGAUACCCCGGUAGUCCUGGCUGUAAACGAUGGGCACUGAGUGGGGGGGGUUCCGAUGCCACCCCUGCUGUAGCAAAAGUGUUAAGUGCCCCGCCUGGGAACUACGGCCGCAAGGCUAAAACUCAAGGUAAUUGACGGGGGCUCACACAAGCGGUGGAGCAUGUUGUUUAAUUCGAGGCAACGCGAAGAACCUUACCUGGGCUUGACAUGCACGGAUUAACCCCAUGAAAGUGGGGCCACACCCGCAAGGGUGGAACGUGCACAGGUGUUGCAUGGCUGUCGUCAGCUCGUGCCGUGAGGUGUUGGGUUAAGUCCCCUAACGAGCGAAACCCUUGCCCCUAGUUGCCACCAGUUCGGCUGGGCACUCUAGGGGGACUGCCGCCGUCAAGGCGGAGGAAGGUGGGGAUGACGUCAAGUCAUCAUGGCCCUUAUGUCCAGGGCGACUAACGUGCUACAAUGGCCGGUACAGAGGGACGCAAGGCCGCAAGGCGGAGCAAAUCCCACAAAGCCGGUCCCAGUUCGGAUUGGGGGCUGCAAUUCGCCCCCAUGAAGCCGGAAUCGCUAGUAACCGCAGAUCAGCCAUGCUGCGGUGAAUAUGUUCCUGAGCCUUGUACACACCGCCCGUCAAGCCACCCGAGUGGGGGGCGCCCGAAGUCGCGAAUCUAACCGAAUAGGGGGAUAGCGCCGAAGGCGAAACUCAUAAGGGGGACUAAGUCGAAACAAGGU
rnacentral:rRNA from 1 species